UCUUUAUUUUUUUUUUUCAAACCAAUCCGUGUUGAGAAGGAAAAGUAAUAAUGACGCGUCCCAAGUCCCCAUGUCUAUUACCCCGAAAACCUUCAACCUCUCUCUCUCUUUAAUAGCAGAAAAUGUUAUCAGUGCUCUUAGAAACACAAAAUCCUUCUGUCUCCUAUAAAUUCAGCCUCCUCCUCUCUCGUUUUUUUUUCUUUUCAUUUCUCUCAACCCUCACAGCCCUUUCAUUUCUCGAAUCUUCUCUGCCUGCAAUUGAACAACGUACCUCCCCGCAGUAUUGAAUAGCCCAUCCGUGGUAGAAAUCGGAAAAACUGACAACCAAAGGUAAAAUCAUCCUCCAAUCUUUUGUUUUCAUUGCUCAGAUUCAUUUAUUUGAGGAAAAUGUACAAAAUCUAACACAUGCAUGUGGUGUUAUCUGUGGGAGGACCCCCAAUCGUUGCAAAUCCAAGAUAGACAACACAGGGAAAAUACCCCAAGUCGCCAUCUCUUCUCAACCAAACCAUGUGUCCCCCAAGCUUCAUGCCAUUACAAAUUCGAGUUCCAUUCAGGUAGAUAGAGAACAUUUCGCACAGGCAACGGUGCCCGCGAUGCACAAAGAGACUGAAGAGACAGAUGAUCGGAUCAUAUUUAUAUAUAUUUUUACUUUAAAUUCACUCGUCUUUUCUUGGAGUAACAUGAUCCAAAGAACUUAUUUUUCUGCUAUGUGGGGCUGCUAGAAACUAAAUGAAAAAAUAAAAGGAGAGCAUCGGGAGGAGAAUAUAGAGAAAAGCAAGCUGCCUUUGCAGCUGGAGGAAAGCAGGUCAGCGACAAAGGGAUCCAAGGAAGUAAGAAGAAUUAGGGGACAACAACUGGCAAAGCAGAGGAAAUGGAGGAGUCCACACGGGGGACGGAAAAAGAAUCCAAAGAAGGUGUGCGAGAAUAAAAGAAGUCAGACGAACGGGUGAGAAGGGGGGUCUUGGAGCGGGAGAAGGGAGCUGCCCUUUGGGCAGCUCGCAGAGACGCAGGAAGGAGAGAAGGUCAGAAAGGAGAGUAGCUGCCUUGGCAGCUGGGGGGUCUGGGAGCGGGAGAAAGGGACUGCCCUUUGGGCAGUUCGCAGAGGGACAGGAAAGAGCUGCCUUUGCAGCACAAGGAAAGAAGGCAGACAGCUGCCCUUACAGCGUGAGUGGAAAGAAACAGGCGGGAUAGAGAGGAGACAGAAACUGAGGGGGACUGACGUGAGGACAUGAGGAUUGCAGAAAGCUGCACUUGCAGCUGGGAAGGCGCAGUCCACAUGGGCAGAAGACCAGAGGCACGGGCAGACUGGCACUGAAGCACUCUUUUCUCUCGGUUAAAUCUUUCCAAAUUUCUAUUUUAUUUUUAAUAAUGUGUAAAUAAACUGAUUUUGGCUAGAGGUUAAUUUAAAGCCAUGAUUAUAUCUGUAAUAUGAAUUGAUUACCUUCGGUUGUGAUUUCAUAAGUUGUGAUUUCAAUUUACUUAUCCGUUCGUAUAAAAACUGAUUUGUGUAUG